rnacentral:tRNA from 1 species
GCCUUCUUAGCUCAGUGGUAGAGCGUUGCACUUGUAAUCAGCCAUGAUUUCAUGCAAAGGUCAGUCGUUCAAUCCGGCUAGCAGGCA